UAAAACUUGGGAAUUGGGGGCAAUUACACAGCCACCCUCUGCUUUGUUUCUUGCUUUCAUGUGCAGUUAAUUGUUGGGAGACUGUUUUAAAUGCUCUUAUUAAAAAAUACAAAAACAUACUGACGCACACAAUAUACAACGUUCUUUUUCCAUAUGCUGUAUCUGCAGUUUCAGUUUCUUGUCAAGGGUUUUGUCCCCCAGACAAUGUGUCUGGAGACAGUUAAUAAACAGAUGUUUUAAGGUCUCAUAAAACCUUGAAACCUGCUUUUACUGAAGCUCAGACUGAGGCUUUUGUCCACAUUUGAAACAGUGUGCAUGUCCUUGAGAAAUCUUAACCUUAUAUUCACAGAUAGAAUGAAAUAGAGCAGAAGAUUUAACAGAAUGAUUACAUUACACUAUGAAAGGGAAAAAUGAAUCUCCUCAUUGUUCUCAUUUUUGGAUCAAACUCCUUCCUUCUAGUUCCGUAUAAAUAUUUAGUGCUAUGAAAUCUGAGUAUAGUGGACUACUUAAAACAUAAAUCAAUGAAAAUCUGAGAACUGUGUUUGGCAAACUAAGUCUUUCUUCAUCGUCUCUGCAGGAUCCCUGUGAGGAAUCCAGGGCACUGACCUACUGUAUGUCAACAACUGAAAGCCAAGAAAAUAUCCCUACAGCUUGAAGUCCUCUGACUCACCUCUUUGCUGUACAUGCGUCUUCCAGGAAAACAAAAAUAAAUAAAUAAAUAAAUAAAAUCCCAUGUUCAGAGCAGCCAUGUCUGUGUCAUCAGUUUCUCCAAGUCAACCAAAGCCAUGUGCGAACCAGAAAUGACUGCAUUUUAAAAGAAUACAUUGACUCAUGUUGUUCAAUUCUGGCUCUUUGAGUUGGAACAAAUCAAACUUUGUAUAACAGAUUUCAUUAGGACUUAAGUGGUAUAAAAGACAAAUGUGAAAGUGUGAAAGCUCCAGAAGUAGGGAAGCCAAAAGAUUUAGAGCUCCCACCAAUGGCUGAUCACUACAUAGGUUAUAAAGCUUGCCUCCCACAUGUUAAAAAAUGGUAGAUUAGUCAAACUUUAAAAACACAUAUCUGAUCAAUUUUGCAUCAACAUUUCUGCAUUCUAGUCAGCUGAUAUUUUUUUCAGAUGUUAUUUGUUCCAAGAAUCUAGGUAUAAACUGCAUAUCUGAUUAAAACAACAACAACUCUGUUGACAAAUGUGAUUUCUUUAGAUAUAAUGGGCAAAACCCACAGGAUCUGGAACAGCUCCACUCCGGCAAGGCCAGCAGAUCAAAUCUGCAAGCAUUAUAAUCAAUGCUUGUCAUUCCACAGACUCCGUCCGGCCCCGCUGAGGAUCCACUCCGGCGGCCGGAUCAGAUACGCAAGGCUUCUAUUUUUGCCAGAUGCCUGAGCACGGUGCAUCAAUUCAGUGCAGCACGAGCAGCAGUGGAAGUUAUAUACAGUUACACAGUAAAAUUUCCGGUUAAUUUUCAAAAUAAAAUAAAGUCGAUACAUUGAACUGUUCUUAACUUGAUAUUAGCAGAGGCCAGGGUUGUGGUAUGUGGGUGUUUACAUACACCGUCGUUUAUAACCCCUGACCCCCAUAUGUGGUUUUACUAUAGAGUAGACUAUGUAGCAAACUCAAUCACUGGAGGUUUCGGACACUACAAGGCAAGACGCAAUGCAAGACAGGAUGCCCACCACCAGUGAAUGACCAUCGGAUGGUCACUACAUUUUGCAAUGCUUUAUGGGAAAUUUUGAGUCACCUAUAUAGGACACUGGAAUUGAUUACUCAGGUUUUGGACACCCCUCAAAAUGGCGCUAACCCCCAUAUAGUCUUUUUUUUUUUUUUUUUUUUUUUGCUAACCCCCAUAUAGUCGCCUACAAAGGAGUUAGGGAUCCGUUUCGGACACAGCCUAUGACUCCUGGGGAUAUACGCGAGAGCUCGAGAGAUCUCGUCCAGUCCCGCGAGAAAUAUCCGUAAUCUCGCGAGCGCUUCUUCUCCGAUGGCGGCGGCAGAUUUGAUCCGGUGGGCGCUGUAUUACUGGCGGAUCUGAUCCGCCUGCCGGUCCGGAGCGGAGCGGAGCCGUUGAAGAUCCUGUGGGUCUAAGGUAGGGCUUCUUUAAAGAGCAGAGGGACAAAAAAUGUUUGAAGUUUUUCCCCGGUUUUGUAAUCGGAGUGUAUUUUCUGUGUCCUUUUGGGUGUUGUGCAGGACAAAAAAUGAUGUAUUACAAGAGCAAAAUAAAAAGCAACAAAAACUUACUUAAAAAAAAAACACCAGGAGAUGAAAGAUUCACGCAUAAAAGAUCACGGGGAAACAGGGAGGCAUGUACACACAUCAACAUGCAAUGAACCAACAAGAACACCGGGGAAGGCAGGGACUAUAUACACACACAAGGAAACGAGCAACAGGUGAGGCUGACGAGACACAGGUGAAACUCAUGGGUGAUUAACUACUACAAAAUAAAACAGGAAACACUGAGAACUAAUCUUAAGAAUAAAACACUGAAAACAGGAGAGAAACAGGGUCAAACACAAUCUGAAAACUCACAAUACAGGAUCACAGGAACAAAAGGGAACAGAAACACUAGGCAAAUACACACUGGAAAUACACUCAGAUAACAAAACCAGGGAAUAACUAAGUUAGCAGAACACAUCAUGACAGUCAGAGUCGCAGCAGAUGUCUUGGACAAGUUGUGCACAACAGCAACUUUGGUUGGUUCAUAAAGGACAAACAAAGUAUGACUUUAUUGCUGAAAUGCAGAUGAGACUAUCACAUUUAACAUGUUUAAACCUUGUGAUCUCAAUAACUGAAUACAGUCAUAGAUCGACUGUUAUCGCUUAAGCCUGCUCUGAAUUACCAGUUAAAGGCUGUCUUAAUGUCAGAGGCAGCUACAUUUGUUGCUGAACAGUGUCGACAAACUGCUUUGGUCUUAUUUACUUGUCUAUGUCCAUUGUUAGAUUUCACAGGGAAACUGUAGUAUUCCCACUCAAGAGACUUUAAUAUCAGUCAUGAUCUUCUAGUUUUUGCUUGUCGUGUGUUGACAAGCAAAAACGUGUGUUGGGCAUGUUUUUCUGUCUGACCAUGUUGGAACUCAGAUUUCAUUUACUUUUUACUUGUUGUUCCGCUUGUAUCCGGUUCUGUGUGCAUGCAGAAGCCCUGUACUGAAACAGCUUAGUACUUGUACCUCUCCCCUCCUGACCCAUCAUGACGAUUAUGAUGCAUGUGUAUCAAACUAAAAGGUGUUUUAAUCAUAACAGAUGUUUUUUUCAUAAUAUAAUGCUUCUCGGGUCAAUGUCACAAUGCCAUCAUGGUAUUGUCUGGUGGAAAAACUAAUCAAAACUAAAGAGAAAUAUGUUCCAAAACUCAAAUCCUACAGUG
rnacentral:lncRNA from 1 species